rnacentral:rRNA from 1 species
UACGUAGGGUGCAAGCGUUAAUCGGAAUUACUGGGCGUAAAGCGUGCGCAGGCGGUUAUGCAAGACCGAUGUGAAAUCCCCGGGCUUAACCUGGGAACCGCAUUUGUGACUGCAUAGCUGGAGUACGGCAGAGGGGGAUGGAAUUCCGCGUGUAGCAGUGAAAUGCGUAGAUAUGCGGAGGAACACCGAUGGCGAAGGCAGUCCCCUGGGCCUGUACUGACGCUCAUGCACGAAAGCGUGGGGAGCAAACAGG